rnacentral:rRNA from 1 species
UACGUAGGGGGCAAGCGUUGUCCGGAAUUAUUGGGCGUAAAGAGCGUGUAGGCGGUCCGGUAAGUCAGCUGUGAAAGUCAAGGGCUCAACCCUUGAAUGCCGGUUGAUACUGUCGGGCUAGAGUCCGGAAGAGGCGAGUGGAAUUCCUGGUGUAGCGGUGAAAUGCGCAGAUAUCAGGAGGAACACCGAUUGCGAAGGCAGCUCGCUGGAACGUUACUGACGCUGAGACGCGAAAGCGUGGGGAGCAAACAGG